AAAAAAAAAAAAAAAAAAAACUAAAGAUAAUAUGCUCUCAAGUCAACCUCACCUCAUCAUUUGGUCUUGCUUCUUCCAAACACCACCUCAUUUCCCACUUUCUUUUCUUUUACCAAUUUUAAUUAUGGGGUUUGUGUUUGCGUUUGUGUGUGUAUAUAAUAAGAGGUGGUGGGUUUGUUCCAAUUCUUGACCAUAUGGUAUUAAACAUGAAGGUUCAUCAGUUUGCACGUGGAUUUUGGGACGAACCCUCUCUCUCCCUUGGCUGUAAACGCUUACGCCCUCUUGCUCCUAAACUUCAACAACCCACCUCCGAUAACACAACCACCACCACCACCACCCUCACCACUUUCGAUCUCAAGACCUUCAUCAAACCCGAUUGUGGUCCUCGCAAACCAGGUUCCUCCCAUGAUCACAGCAAAGACUCUUCCUCCUCUUCCUCUUCCCUCCAGGUAACUAAUUAACAACUACUGUUCUUUUAAUUACAAUACUUAGAAUAUCUAAAAAAAAAAAACCCUUGUUUUGUACAGACAGGGGUGGAAACGCAUCCUGGAGGGACACGGUGGAAUCCAACUCAAGAACAAAUUGGGAUAUUGGAGAUGCUUUAUAGCAGAGGAAUGAGGACUCCCAAUGCCCAACAAAUCGAACACAUCACUGCACAACUUGGCAACUACGGAAAGAUUGAAGGCAAGAAUGUUUUUUAUUGGUUUCAAAAUCAUAAAGCCCGUGAACGACAGAAACAGAAACGCAACAGUCUUGGUCUUCCACACUCUCCAAGAACUCCUCCCCCUCCUCCCAUCAUUCCCGCCUUCCACACGGUACGUUUCCGAAAUAAUCUGCAUGUCUUCUAAUAAUCAUUAUCCCUGCUUCCGUAUAAAUUAAUCAUAACACGAGGAAUAUAAAUUAAUUUGCAGGGAGAGGAAGACAGCCCGUACAAGAGGAAGUGCUUGUAUUGGGGUUUUGAGUGUUUGGUAGAAGAUAAUGGUUUAAUGUGUAAAAAGGAGGAAGAUCAUGAUAGGACUUUGGAGUUAUUCCCCUUGCACCCAGAACGCUGAUGAUCCAAUUUUUUUGAAAUUCAAAAAAAAAAGAAAAAAAAAAUUGCAUCUUUUGCUAUGAUCAUAAGUUGUUAUGAAUUCUCUUUCUCUUUUUCUUUUUCUUUUUUCCUCUCGUUUUCGAGAAAAAAAAAAAAAGAGAAAAAAGAGAAAAGAAAGGUCGAAGAAUAACAACUACCACUUCUCUUCUUUGUACUCAUGUAUGACGUACUGCCAAUUUUCUUAUGUGAAAGAAAGCGAAGGAUAAAUCCUGAUUUCUUUUCCUUUUAACAAAACUUCCUUUAGUUUUAUGUUAGUAAGAAAAACGGUUCCUUUUUUGAGAAACACUUUGUUAAAAUGGAAGGCUUUUUUAGGUUAAAAGUGAGGGAGAAGCUAUAUUGGACACUGAAGUCCACAAGGGGCUACCUUCCUUCUUGUUUCUUAUCCUUUUUCUUGGAUUUCAAACUCUUCUUCCACUUUUUUCCAAUAACUAUUAUAAAUAAAUUUCCAAACGUUAACAAAAUUUGACUACUUACGGCAGACUUUCAUAAAGUGCCAUAUCAACCCAAUCUAAGGACAUGAAUUUUCAACUUUAUUUUCUACCAAAAAAAUAAAAAAAAAACGUUGAAGGACUGUUGUUAAAUUGUGACAUGCAUGUAUUUUAAUGAGAGAAUCGAAGUGGAAAGUGGGGGCCAAUCGUCUUGGAGGGAAAAGUUGAAUCACUAAAUUUGAAAGAAAAAAAAGUUGAAAAAGAAAAUAUUAAUGUGAUUUGUUAGUGUCCAUUAAUUUCAAAUAUGAUGAUGAUGAUUAUGGAAAUAUGGAAAAUAGGGGUAGCUAUGACUUCUUAAAUAAUUGUCAAAUUUAUCUUUGUCUAUUAGCAUAAUUGACAAUCUGUUUCACAAUGAUGAUGAUGGGAAAUUUUUUGCUAAAUAAAAACAAAACAUUCUAAUUUUUGUAAUCUCUGUAUUCUUCUGUAGCACUGUCCAUUUUCAAAUAAAGAGAUUAGAUAUGUGUCUUGUAUUUCAGAAGAGUACCAUCGUUGUUUUUGCUUUAUUUACUUGCCACGUGUUUGUGUUAUAUAUGUUUCAUAGUUUUCUUAAACUGUAUAAUAUAUACUUCGAUCUUAGCUUCUUUCUAUCUUUUUUCAACUCAUAUUCGUUCAAUUACUGCUUGUAAAGUGAUAAAAAGUAAUUGUUUUCUAAUUUUAUAUGACGUCUGGUUGAUAUAAGCUGCAAAGAGAUAAACGUAGUUGGAAGUGCAACAACUGAAAAAACUAACUAGUCCACUAAUUUGGUUUGGUUAAUUUUCUUUAUAGAAUAAAACCUCUUCAUUUGAAGGGAGAAAAUUGUGAAGUGUUUAUUUGGAUCUGUUCUUUCAAGGGUGUAGUACAUAUUUGUUGUUCAGAAAAAUUAUUAUAAUACAUGUAUAUGUAUGCAUGUUAUUCAGAAAACCCAUUAGAGAAAUAAAAAUGUCCAAUUUUAAUUUAUAAAGAACAAUGGCAAAGUUAAAAUAAAUUUUUGUAACAAAAAUACCCAAAACUGGUAACUAAACCGACUGUAAUCUGAAUUAAUUGAUUAAACAUUGAUCCAGUAGAUGUUUUUUUAUUGAACAUCGUUUUAAUUUCCUUGUUUGCAUAAAAUUAAUUUGUUUGGUUUGAUUUAUGGUUAGUCCAAUAAUUGAAAAAACUGAACUGAUUUUCACUCCAAGUGUACUGCAAGAUAUACAAUGAAGUGUAAUUCAUUUGGUAUUAUUAGGAAAUUUGUUUUGUUCUCUUCCUGUGCACUGAAGUAUAUUAUUCAUAGAUUAACAGUUUAUUCUUCUCUCUUCAAAGAAAACAAACUGUAAACUUGGGAACAGAUGAUCUUCAUAAAAAUUAUGUUUUAAUAAAGUUUACCGGAUGAAUGAAUUGUUAUUUUUUUAUCAUUUUGGGAAGAACUACAUAUUUAAAGUGUGUUUAGUAACCUGUCAAAUUUUCAUUAUUAUGAUUCAAAAUACGUUUUAAUCUUAGUUAAUAAAUACCAUUUAAAAAUAUUGGAACAAUUUAAACACUCUUUGAAAGUUCCAUAUCAGAGAUGAUUUCUUUUAAUGUGGUGUAACCAAACUAAUUACUUUUUCUUCAAAUUUGAACAUAUUUAACUCAAAGUCAAAAUCAACUUAACUUUUAAAUAUUGUUAUUGUGCUUAUAAUAUCAACCUCAACCCUUCAUUCAAAAGCUUCCAUUUUUCUCACUAUAAAAUUCAUGUAUUCAACUCAAAUGCUAUUGAAAAAUAUAUAUAUAAAUAAAAUGCAUCUUUAUUUUUCUUCUUCUAAAUUUUAUUAAAUUCAAGUGAGAAAUUAUAGUUAAAAUAAGUAUCAACUUUACGAUUUAACAUAACGAAUUUGAUUUAAGUCGGUGUAUGUCAUAAUCUAUACUAUACAUUAUUAUAUAUAAAAUAAAAAGAAAGAAAAAAGCUAUCCUUUUACGUAUAAUAAGCUACUUUUAUGCAUGCAUGACGCAUUAAUUAAUAGUUAGAUGGUUUUUUUUAUGAUUAAUAGAAGCUUUUUUUUCUUUAAUAUUAAAAAAGAUAAUUAAGAUGAGAUUUUGAAAUGAUUAUCUAGGGGUAUUUUUUCUUAAUUAGACGCAUUUGAGAAAGAAAAAUAGAACCAGCUGUGUAACAAAUGUAAUGAUUACAAGAGGAAGGACUUUAGCUUUGAUUAUUUAAUAUAUAAUAGGAAGAAUAAAGAUACUUUAGCCAAUUGAUCAAUCAAGUAGAUCGUGCUAGAUUCUUGUGGGUCACUUCUUUAAUCUCAUUUUCACAUCUUAACAAACUUUUAAACUCUUAUAUUAUCUUCUUCUCCAUUUUAACUUUCACACCUCCAACCAAAUCUAACUACUUAAUAUUUUACAUUAUUAUUAUUUUUGUUACGAUAAAUAGCUCUAAAGAAAUAUGUUCGAUUGUAUGGUUGUUUAGGGUUAAGUAAUAGUUAUUACAAAUUUUCUCAUGUAGUGAUUUAAACAUUAGUACAAUCUCUUUACAUAAGUGUUAUACGAGAAUGUUUGGUUCUACGUGAAAAAAAUGUUUUAAGAGUUUAAUUGUUAGAAAAAUAAUGCUAUUACAUAUAAAUAUGUAGAAGUAUAAUAAUAAUUGUAUAUUUCAUAUCAACUUAAUAAUUAGUAAUUAAGCUCAAUUUACUAAAAUACAAAUUGAAGAUAGAGAUGUUGUUGCAAACUUAAAAUAUAUGUAAGAGAUAUUUUAGAUAACAUGUUUAAUUAAUUCUUAUUUUUCUUGGUAUGCAUCAUAGUUUUAUGAUCUUAAAAGCCUUUUCUUAAUUGUUAUGGGAAAACCUUUAUGAGUGGUUGAAUUUUGUUUAUGGUAGGCCAAAUAAUCCACCUUUGCUCUUUUCAUUUUCCUUCUGUUUUUCAAAAUAAUAAUGGUAAAAAAAGGGACAAACAAAUGGAAAAAAAUAAUAAUAGGAAUGAGCCCUAAUUAAAAAAUUGUUAAGGAGGUUAUUUAAAAGCAACUUUUAAUAUACUUUGGUCAUGAUUGGAACACAAACUUUAAUAUGUUGGUCUAUUUUAUUUAGAUAUAAGUAGUCUUUUCAUAUCCUUUAAAUAUAUUUGCUAUAUAUCAAUCUGCUAUGUCUAAAUACACUUUAACUAUGAAGCUUACAAAUUAAUAUUUCAGGUAAACUUCUAAUUUCAUUGACUAAAUUUCAUGUUUAAGCAACUUAUCUAACUCUUGCUCUUCAUUUAGUUCAUGCACAAUAUCAACAAUAAUAAUUAAAAAAAAAAACAUAAUUUUCUUUGAGGUAUUAAAAAUGGGAGUUAAUCAUAUGUUUUACAAUUUAGAAGAAUAUUAUUUUUAACAUAAUUCUCAAUUGAUAGCUCAUUUAGAAUGUAAAAGUUGCAUUUACUCAAAGUUAUUAAAAGUAGAAGUAGUUUGUGAAAAGAGUGAAGAAAAGGGGCAUGCCUUUAAAUGAAGGCCGAUGUUGAAUUUCAGUGGUUGGGCCCAAAUUCUCAUGGAUCUUUAAAGCCCAUUUCGAUUAGCACACCCAACUCAUUCCACAAAUUAAAAGGAAAUAUGGUUAUACAAUGUAAAAGCAUUGACUGAAUCCUUCUUUACUUCACUAAGUGACAAGCACAUUACCACUGUGCUAUGUGCUAUGUAUAUAUUAUCUUUGUUGGGUGUGUUCUUAUCUUCUAGAUCUUCCCCCUUGUGUUGACUAAUAUAACUCUUUUUUUUUCUUUACUUGUUUAUCUCAUGUACUUGAAUGUUGUAUAAAAUAUGAAACCCGAAGAGUCAUUUAUGUUGGUGUCUCUUCCGUAGGACUGUGUCGUUGCCAAAUUAUUGGGGACUGGGGAGGAGAUAUUUUUUUGGCUGCUUGCGAUAUCUUAUUUGAGUCUAAAUUAUAAUUUAACCAUCUGAUUUGACUCGACAAACUCUCCUAUACGAGGCGUUCAAUUUUCAUUGUUUAUAAUAUUCAUCCUGGUCCUACGUUCAUUGACAAAACAUUUUGAUAAUUGAUAUAUGACAUGGUGGCUUAUUUAUUUAUUUUUAGUUCUGGGUAUCUAGCUUCCUUACUAGAUUGUCUGAUAAUUGUGUUUUUUUUUUUAAUCAGACGUGGUAUUAUGUACAAUCGAAUUUUCCCAGAUGUGUUUUUUUUGUUUGGGCAAAGCAAUUGAUCUGUAAACGUUCUACCAUACACUUUAUAGUCUUUUGGCAUCGUUCUACUCUAUAUUGCAAGAUUGUUAUAGAUAAUUCAGCCGUGUUAAUGAAUAUGGUUUUGUUUAAAGACGUAUGUUGAGAAUAAAGAAUCUGCACAAAAUGCAGUAGGUAAGCUAAUGGAAUGCUGAUCAAUUACUAACAAAUCUGGACUUGGAUACUUUACUUGUGGAGGUCGAAGUGUUUUGGUUUUGUUAACUUAGAAAACGUACAUGAUUCUGUGAAAGCAAUAACUGAUGUACUUGAAUAAUAAAUAGUUUGAUUGCAAGAAGAGAUAGGUUGAAAAGCUAUGGAAUUUUUUAAGGGAGCCGAAAGUUCAAGAGCUGGUUGAGCGUAGUAUAGAUGAUUUACUUGCUCCGGAUAUAAGUCUAGUUGAUAGCAUUGAUGAUUACAAAUUUACCGUAGUGUUAUACGAGUUGCCACAAUUUCCUCGUACUACGUUUCUUAUUAUUGGAGUAGUAAUAGACAAAUUUUCCAUCUGAACUUCUGUUAAAUUUACAGAAUAUGGUCCAAAUGUACCCUUAUGUAUUUGUUCUCUGAUCUAUUUUAAUGUCUUGGGUUGUGAUCCUAUGGUUCUAAUAAUUUGAUAUUACUCAUGCACUUUUGUAUGCAAAAUUUGUUUCAUACACAAGGAAUGUAACUCUUAUUCAUUGAUUGGAUCUGUUGGCUCUAAUUGUCUCUCUUUUAGUGCGGAGUAUAUUUCAUGGAGAUUACUCAAUUGGCAAGACAAAAAUAUUAAGAUUCAUUGUAAAGGAAACUGACCAUCUCCUUAAUGAUAGAUAUAGUUCUCAUCUUCCAUAGUUUUUCUUUUUCUAUGUAGAGCCAUUAACAAUUGGAUUUUUUCGAAAAAAAAUUGGAGCAAUCAUAUACAACUUCCAGGCUGCCGGCUCAAUGGUUGGUUGUCUCACUUUCCUGUGUAUGUUUUGGAUGUUCUCUAUAUACUACUACUCGAAAUUUCAGGUAAAAUUAUAGCUCUCUUCCAUUCAUCAAACUACUGUUAUGAAUAAACACUUGAAUAUGUAUGCAUUUUUCAAUAGAACUAUGUGUACUAUCACCGAGUUUUUUACAUUGUCUUCUCACAAAUCUGAAAAUAAAUGUUUAUCUUAUCAUUUUGUGUGCUUUCAUAGUUUGUGAAACGGAAUGAAUGAAGUCUUCUGGUUAAAUAUUUGCAAUACAUACCUUUUCUAGAUGCUUGUGACCAUGGAGUGAGUGUGUUGUAACUUAAAAAUGCAGCUCUUUUGAUAUCAAUUCAGUAAUGAUUCUUCCUAACAUUUUUGCUCAUUGAUAAAUCUUUUUCGUAACCCUUGGCUUAGAUUUGGAUGGUGGCUUAUCCCCCACUUUAGAUUUGGAUGGUCUCCUUUGGUACUUUACUGUAAGAAACAAAAAUAAAAUUUCUCUUGACUCAGCCUGAAAUUUUUUCUCAUUACUGUGUGGAUAUGACUGAUACCGAUAAUCUUGGCAAUCACGAUGGUGGUAGAAGGGUCAACCUCAGAUGCUUUGAGGGUUAGGGCGACUCGAAUCAUGGGCCCGGGAUAACCAAAUAUCAUAGAGAUUGUUAGUUAUCCCACUAGUUUAACUGAGAUCCAUGCCAACGAAUUGACAUAAUACGUUUUGUAAAUUUCCCCAUUGGAAUCCUAGAUCGUCUCUCCCAUGUCCUUUUCCUUUAUGGAUAUAUGGGUGCAUGAUUUCUCCGGCAGGUAUUUGGUGAUAUUCUGGUGCUCCCUCCCUGGGUUGAGGAUUGCUAUUUUUUGCUUUUUUAUUUGAUGGGUUGAUAAUGAUUUGUGCUGUAAUUCUGAGCAUUAACAUGGAGUGUAUAGCAAAGAACGACCAUUCUAAAUGGUCGAAAAGUAGGUAGUAGAAGGAAGAUGCAAAGACAACAAGUUAGAAAAAGAACUUCCCCGCUAUGUGGUCUGAUAAGGCUUUUACCAUGAACUACUGUGUCACCUGAGAUUUGAAGACACUUCGGAGGGUAUUUAACGAGUGUUUUUGAGAUUCCGUAUGACAUCUCAGCUGUUCAAUUAGCUUCCGUUGAAGGGGCUGGUCGCAUGAACGUUAUGUGGCUGCUUGGAAAAUUCAACGUUCAUUGGUCUUGCAUUUUGGAGACAGCUAGAUUUAUCAUCAUGGCGUAGAAGAGUAAGACAGUUUGGAAUAUAUAUAUAUAUAUCCUAGGGUGUGCAUUUUUUCAUAUUGACCCUGUACAUUUCAUUAGUUUGCUUUUACAUGGAACCUCAAAGUCUAGGACACAUUUCUUUGUCCUGUAAUUUCCAAUGUCCAGCCGACACCUAGGAAACAUCAUUUACCUUCUAACACGUGGAUUGUGAUGAAAGUGGACACAAUUAAAAUAAAGAAAACGGUUUGAUGUUUAUCUUAUCAGACCCACGUCUCUGUUUGUGAAACCUCUUUGAAAUUGCAUCUGUUUUCCCUGGCCUUUUCACAAUUUCCAUCCUAACUAUUUGAUUACCUUCUUCUCUUCAAUGAUUUGAGUGCCGGUGGCUUCCCACGUGUGAGGCUUAAGCUGCGAGCAAAUACCUUUCUUAUGAACGAGGACUUUGAAUAGGUAACAAAUCCAACUUAUGGAUCAAGUUUACUGGUAAUUUUUUAAGACAACUCAAACAAGUUAGUUGGUGGGCUUAAAAUCUUGAGCUCAUUUUUAAGAUCCACCCAAUAAUUUUUACCAUUCUUUGGUUCUGAUGUGAAGAUUUACUGACUGAAUUUUUUCCCAAUAAUGUAAUAUUUGCAGUAUGUUUUUUUCUUUAUGAGGGUAGAAGUGUGGAUAGUAGAGGAAUUCUAAAUGUAGACUGAAUCAAUUAGAUACUGUUAGUUGGUAGUAAAUUAAUAUCAAACCUACCUGUUUCGUAUUUUCAAUCUGCAGGUUUAAACACCAGGAUGAGGCCUAUUUAUUUAAUUAAUGGGCAAGUGGAAGAGUGACAUUUUAAAUUGCAUCGGAUGCCUGCCAUGCUUGCUUGCUGUGCCAUCCUUCCCUUGAUGGUAAAGUUAGUGAAUAUUUUUGGCUUCUCUCAAUUAUCUAUUUUGCAGAUCACGGGAACUUCUUAGACAGUUUACUUUCAAAUUUUCCAACUUUAUAUGCAAAGUUCAAUGAAACUUAAUGAUGAAAAAGGCCUUUUUUUUCACAUAUAUAUUUAUUUUCCUGUUUAUUGCUAUGUGUCUGAUUUUUAAAUUGGUAGUUGAAACAACCCAAUGUGAUAUUAUUGUUUUGCAGUUAUGGGUGAAUGACCAAUCCACCAAGUACUGACCUUUGCAUCAUUUUAACCCUUCUUCCUUAAUCUAUGUAAUUAAACUCCCUACAUUUUUUACUAGAUGGUUUGGUAAGUAUAUUUACUGCAGUAUUUGCAGGUGAAAGAGAUUGGCAAUGUCAGUUUUCAGUGAUUAUUGCAACAGGCUCUUUUUCAUUCCUUUUUUUUUUUUUUUUUUCUUUUGUAAUUAUUUAAAAAGUCUUAGCUGAUAGGUGGGAUUGAUUAGCACAUUUUUCCGCUGUUUGAUUAUUGACAAAAGUUGCAACCAGUUUUCUUCUUUCUUUGACACAUUCAUUUUCAUUCAAUUUCAUCUUCUUUCUACUCAUUUUGAGAAGAAAAUUGCCAACUGACAAAGAUGCCCACUUAUAAUGGUGGGUUAGGAGAAAGGCAAUCUUGGUUCCCUCUUGGUUUAGCUUGAUAAUUAUAUCUACCGCUGUUGGUGAAAAAAAAAAAAAAGAAGAGAAGAAAAGUAACCCAUCUCAAUUGCCUGUUUAAUUUCCAUCUCCUAAACCCUUUAUGCCUAAGCACAGUAUAUUAGAUUAGGUGAUGGCCUCAAAUACCUGAUUUCUGGGUUUGGUAGAUCCAUGAUUUUUGGGUCACUCUAUUUUUUCUAAAGAAAAAUAAAUUUUAAAAUGAAUAUAUUGAAUUUGCAAAAGAGGAGGAAAAUAGGUUUAAAAUUGUAAUUAUACGAAGAUUAUUAUUAGGUUUCAGACUCUCGUUUUGGCAGCCAACCACUGUGUUUUACAUUUACCCCACUUCUUCACAGGUAGUUUAUUGAUUCAAAGGGUCAAUCUCUCUCUCUCUCUCUCUCUCUCUCUCUAUAUAUAUAUAUAUAUAGAUAGAUAGAUGUAUAAAUUUAUGUGGGUGCAUGAUUGAGGCUUUGAUGUAUUAAAUUGAUAUAUUUGAAUUAAGCAAAAGCAGCUAGAUAGAUAUAGAGAUUGUGAUAAAAGCUGAGCCGUUUGGGUUGUUGAUUAUCCGAAGGCUUGGGUUAGGCCAUAUAUUUCUCCAAUUAGUCAAAAGCAUUGAAAUUUUCUAAAUAUUCUCUAUGGUGGGAGAAUCGUCAUCUCAUUAUCAUAAUUAGUAUGUGUGAUUAUUAUUCUAACCAAAAUAAAAAUAAAAAAUAAAAAAUUUCCCUUGAAAGAAGCUGUGAAGCAUUUGUUUUUUACAAGCAAACUCAUAUGGUAUGGACAAAUUGCUAUCAUAUUGUGUGGCCUCAUUUUAUGGCAUAAAAAAAUACAGGGUAUAAUAGCAAAGCAAACCCACAAUUGAAAGACAGUAAUAAAUUUAAUUUUAUAUAUAUUAAAGAAAAGUGGUAAUACGACCAAAACCAUAAAGAACGAAUAGGCCCACAAUUGAGAUAUGAACGGUGUGGGGAGGUGGCCAUUCAUUUAAAAAGAAGAAGUUGGGUUAGAAUCUGGCCUAAUACUCAAGUAGCCUUCACCCUUUCACACUUCUUUUAAGCAAAGAAGAGGCUUCCAUACAUUAACCUUUACCCACUGCCCAAUAAAAUCCAAAACGUAUAAAAUAAGAGGGAUAUGAUAUGAUUCUGUAUUUCCAAAAUAUGAAUUUUUACGUUACACCAAGCAAAAUGCUAAAUAAUAAUUUUUUUAAAAAAAUUAGGUGUAUUUGAAUGAUUAUUAUUGUGAUUAUUAUCAUUUGUUUUGUUGUUUGACCACGUGAUGGGUAAAGAAAAGAAAAAAAAAAACCCCAUUAAUAGAUGGUCAAAAAUUACACACAAACAGCCCUGGCAGCAAAGAAAGGAAACCAAAUCUCAAGUUUAGGAAUGGGACCCAUGAAAGGAAAAGUAUCAUUGCCACGUUUACGAAUUUUGUUUUGGGUAAAAUUUUCAUAAUUUACAAACCUUGAUUGUUCUGCAGUGGUGGAAUUAGAGAGUUUAAAGGAAAGGAGAAGGAAGAAGAAGAAUAAGAAGGAAGUGGGGUUGAAGGUAUCCAUGGCGGACAUUGGGGGGCGGGUGUUUUAGUUUUAAUAUUCAGUAAUUUUGUUGCGUGUUUAGUGUUUUCUCUUUUAAGGGUUUUUAACAAAGAUGGAGACUUUUGAACAUGAGGUCUGAGCCAUUUGGUAAGCGGCCCAACAGGACACACACUUUUAUUCUCUUUUCUUUUCUUUUCUUUUUUUUUCUUUUCGUUUUUUUUUUUUUUCUUUUUUGGUUGUUUUUAUCUCUCAAUUUUAUUAAAUUCUCUGUCUGAAGAUGGGAACGCCUUGGCUUUGCCCUUCUGGCUAUGGAUGGACUGUUUACUCUAAUCUCUCCUCUCUCUCUCUCUCUCUCCUUUUUAAUAUUUUUGUUCUGGGUUAAUUCUUAAAAUUAAAGAUUACUACCCUUUUAAUCUUGGACAUGGUCUUUUGUCUACCUCACAUCCCCCACCUUUCCCUCACCCAUUACUCGGUGGGUUUUGUUACCUCCCACUUUCAUCUUGUGGGAGAUUGUCAAACUUAAACCUUUUCUUCUCCUUCACUUCCCAUUUACGGAUUACUUCUUGGGUUUUCUUCUCAGAUCCUUCUUCAUAGAUCGACCCCUUUUUUUCCCCUUUUCAAAUUUCAAAUUUCCCCAUCUCUUUUGGUAAGUUUUUCUUUUCUUUUCUUCCUUCUUCUUAGGUUGAUCGGUUCUUGUUGAUGGAUGAUUCAAUAAUCGAAUGUUUGAUCUUUGAGGUUUUCGUUUCUUUUUCGCCUGAGGUUUUUUAAUGCGUUAAUAGAAUUAGAGGAUAAUAUGAAUACUGUUCAGACAUCAUAUAUGAUAUGUUCUUACGUUUUUUUAAAAAGAAAUUUUAAAAUUAUAUAUCUUUUUUUUUUUUUGGAUUUUGUUAAAGGGUAUAUCAAAGGGUGAAAGGGUUUGGCUUUGACUUCUUCAAUCUGAAUUUUGAACUAAUCUUAUCGGUGACUUCGGCGAUGAUGGUUCUUCUAACCACGCCAAAGUUUAUGGACAUAAGUUGAGCGCCUUUGAUUUCUCCGCCUUCAUCAGUGCUAUUUUCUAGGUUGUUUUUGGUGUUGAAAGUUCUCAUUUUUCAGUUUUUUAUUUUAUUUUAUUAUAUAUAUAAUAUUGAGGCUGGGGUUAAGCUGUUUGCCUAAUCUGUGAGCCCGAUUUUUAUUGAUUCUGGGAUUUAGUUCUGUAGCGUUCGAUGCCUUUUCGUUUCUCCUCUUGUGGGUGGGAUAUGUUUUAGAUGCUUUGUUGAGUUCUAAAACCACAAUUUUUGGUUUCAUUUCCUCCUUUGACAUUUGAGCCAGUUACAGGACUUGAUGAGAUUUUGUACUGUUUCAUGAUGUCAAUGUGACAAUGUCGCCAUUGUUGCCAGCCCUCUUCUACGGAUAGGAAUCUGUAAAUGUGUAAUUUAAUCUGCAAUUGAUUGCAUGUUAGAAAUGUUUCGUUUGAAGUGAACAUUCUGCACCACGUUAUAACACCUCUGUCAUUGGUCAUUCUCACAAGUCGUUUCUGGGUGCUUACAUUCUUAAUUUGAAUGGUUUCUCCACUUCAUCUCAUUUUCUUUAUUUCGGUGAUGAAUUGUUGUAUGCAUUUCUAUGCAUGAUAUGGGACUGCGAUUUCUCCAGGUAUUAGAGAUUUCUUCCAGUGUUACAUUGUUACCAAAUGCCAAAAUCAGCAUUUCUUUGGCAUCUCUAAGUUCUAGCUGUUGAUUUCUCCUUAUAAUUUAGAAGUUUCCUUGUUCUGAUUAGGUUUCAUCUCUAGCUGAUAUCACUCAAAGGAAUUAGAGGUUUCAAAAUAUGUUAAAUUUUGUAAUAAUCUUAUUACAUUUAGUUGUUUGUAUGGGAAAUGUAUCGAAGGUUGAUUUAUAGGAAGCAAGUGUUGUUUAGUAGUAUUAAGCUCUUAGCUUGCAUUGUUGUUGCUAGCCAUUAAACUGGAUUAGAGAAAACGAGUACUGUUUGGGGUUCGGUUGUGCAGAUUUUGUGAUUUAUUGUCAGUUUGGAAUCUUUUCUUUUACCUUCAUCUAUUCUUGUUCCACAUUCCUAUACUCGUCUAGAAAUUGCUUUGAAUGCUGGCAAAUAGUACUUGAUACUUUGGUUUAAGUAUCAAGAGUCUUUGUGCCAAUAAAAAUAUUGUGUUCGAUCAUGGAGUUUAUUUGUUUGACAGAUCUAGCAUGCUAACUUGUAAUGUUGUAUGAAGCUCUUUAACUUCUUGUUCUAAUUGGCUUUUUGUUUCAUUGGUUUCAGAUUCAAUCAAGUGUAUGUGGCUUCGUUUGUUGUCUGGAAAACUUUUUUGACCUGGCUCAUAUUUGAUAGAGAAAUUUACAUUUUCUCUAAUGCAAGGGCAAAGGAGUAGUAUUGGUUCUUUGUCAGAAACAAUAAACUUUGAACAUGGAUCUUCAUCAAAUAAUCCUGGUAACCAACCAGUAUACUGGAAUAAUGUGUGGAAUCCAGCAGAGAACCGAAUACCAGAUUAUUUAUUACCUACUUCUGAUGUAAAUUCUGGAUAUGUAAGCUCUGUGAGCCAUGAGCAACGAAGUUUGAGCAGAUGGAGCUUGGGUGAACCUAGCUCUUGUGAUAUGCAAACUGAGAUGCUGCCUGAUGAGCAGAAAGCUGAAAUUGGAUGGUCUUCAAUGGCUCGUGAUGCAGAUGGUCCUGUUACUGAAAACCGACUCUGUGAGCCAUCAAAUAAUCCUUCACUGGGUCAUGUGAAUCUGAGCCCACUGAUUAUACAAAAUUCUAAUUCUAAUUCUAAUGCUAUUCCUCAUAAUCUCAACUUAAAUUCAAGUUUUGUUAGUCAUGGAGGUGACAAUAGCAGAGUUAAUGAAGGUACUAACGUGUAUAAAUCUAGUGGACCAGAGGAAGGGAGGAUUUUAUGUUCUAAUGCGUCUGAUCCUCUUCUACUUCCUUCUGGAAAUAGUGGACUUCCGGUGGUUGGAAAUGAUGGUAGACCAGGCUCUUCCUUGGAUGGCCGGCGAGCACCCUGCAAAAGAAAAUCUAUUGAAGGAAAUGUUGCACAGUCCUCCCUAAGUGGAAGCAGCAACUACUCACAACAUAUUGAAAGUGGAUCAGAAGCCCAUCUUCCAGUGUUCCCUGGUCGCUACAACACAGGCAGUAGGUUAAGCAUACCUCCUCCACCAGCACGAAUGAAUCAGGCCCCUGUACGAGGUGCAGGUGAACUAACUUCCAACAGCUUCUCUGAGUCAAUUGUUGCUGAAAGCUCAGACAGUUCUCAAAGAAACUACCGUAUAAGGAUUAGUUCAUCAAAUGCACCAGAUUCUUUUGCAUCGGCAGGAACUGCUGUUAGGCAUCCUGGGCCACCAUCUUCCCAGCUGCCAGGUAGACUUCUACCUGCUGAGCAUAUACUAGACUUGAGGCCAGCACCAGCUGUAGACAAUGUAUCAGCUCAAGGUCAGCCAAUUAUGAUACAUGUGCCUGCUUUACCUCGAAGUUUGCAACCAUAUAGGUGGAAUGGAAGCUCUUCUUCCAGAAGUGGCAGUUCAUCAAGCUCUGCAGGGGAGAGGCAGGUGGUGCAACGUGAAGAGGUGAGACCAAGCAGCAUGGGAAGAAACGUAUCCGAACAUCCUAUGUUUGUCCCGGCAAAUGAGCUGAGGGGUUUGGUUCGGAGUCCAUCAAGUAGAGCUUUAGCAUCUUCGAACUUGUCCAUUCCUGGAAAUGUUGCUUCUACAUCCAGGGUUGGUUCAAGUUCAGGGGUACAUCCCUCUUCUGGACCUUGGAUUCCUCCUGAGAGUUCUCCUACACAGUUUCCCAGGAGGUUAACAGAAUAUGUUCGUAGGCAGUUAUUUGCUUCUGCUACAAAUGAGUCUGGAGGAAGGACAAGUAAUUAUUCACAGCGUUCAGGUUCUACUUCUGCCCAGGAGAUGGUCCUUUCAUCUGGAUCUGGCCGCCGGGGGCACCAUUUAUUGCAACCGAGGUCUGCAUUAUGGAUGGAAAGAAGAGGUGACAGUGGACUUGGUCUUCCAUAUUCAUUACGAACUUUGGCUACUUCUGCUGAAGGAAGUGACAAUAACAGACUUGUAUCUGAGGUAUGUUGAAUUUUUUAAUGGAUUAACUGAAUGAUGACCCUAGGUUCAUAUGUGUUAUAUAUGCAUGCCUGUCUGCAUCUGCAGAGAUGUUCAUUUUGAUUGUUGAAUCUUGUGAACAUCUUUGCUUCCUGAAUUCUUUUUAAUGCCAAUCCCUCCCGUUGUUUAAUCGAUCAAUUUUUUUAUUAUAUUGUCUCUUAAAAGUUGCAAUACUUUCAUGUCUACUGGAGAAACUUUAGAUGUUGUGGGUGUCACGACUUUUAUGCUUGGGACUGCAUAUCCGUGAAUUACAUAUGCUAGUGUGAUCAACUUUGCUCCUUCAAAAGCAUGAUGGGAAUUUUUAAAAUAAAUUCCCAUGUUCACCAACUCUGAUGCCCUGUCAACAAGAAAGAGAGGGGGGAAGUCAGGGUGAGGGAGGAACUACUGUAUGACUAUCUAAGUACCUUCCUCAUUUAAUGCAAGCCCUUAUGAAUUGAAAAUUGCUAUUCUGAAAUUGCUGGAUAAAAUUUUUCUGGGACCGCAAGCUUUUCUAUAUGACUAUCUAAGUAACUUUCUGGAGAUUGCGUCCACUAGGAUGGUGUUUGCUGGACUACAAACUGCAGUCAAAUUCUUUGGGAAAUCCUUCUCAGCAUAAGUUACCUUUUAUUAACAAUUUUUUUUUCCUCCAAUUCUAAGUAAUCUUACAUUACAAGUAUGUUGGGUUGUGCUGUAAACAAGAUUUGAUGGAUUAUGAUGCUGUCUUCAACAGUUCAGUUUUCUGUUGGUAUUCAAACUUUGGUUGAUUCUUAGAAGCUCACAUGCUAUUGUUUUGUCUGCAGCACCUUCGUAAUGUCUUGGGCCUUGUUCGCAGGGGUGAAAGCUUACGAGUUGAGGUAGGAACCUUAUUGGUGCUGUAUCAUGGUCAGUUGAUGGCAAAGUUGCAUGAUUGUAUUGAGAUACAGGCAGUCGUUUAGUUACAUGUUUCAUUUUUGUUUAGAUUGGUUACAAUGUGUAAAUGGUGGUGAACAGCUACUUUGUUUUGUUCACAUUCAGUUGCAUUUGGGAUAAAGCUAAAUGGUUCACUUAGUUGAUAUGAAAUAGACUUGAUUUGAUGAUGGUCUAGGACAGGAUCUUGUAUUUCUCCCCUCCAUGGCUUUGGACUUUCUCUAGGGCUUUUGAUUUUACAAUGUACCAAUGUUAUUGUAGCAAUACAUUUUUUAUUAUUAUUGUUAUUAUUUGUUUGGAGUGGGGGGGGUGGGGGAUUCUGGUGGCACCGACUGAUACAUAGUUUCGUGAGAUUUCCCAUAUUCAAAAGUCCUUGAAUUAAUAAUCGUGAAUAUUCUCUAAAUUUACAUGGCGGGGAGGAGGAUUUGUGUCAAAUUUGAGGAAAUUGUGUUCUUCAUGGAGACAACUUAGUUUUGUCAACGAGACUUAGUUGAAGUCAUUGACUCGACAUUUUUAACUCUUGUUUUAUAAUUAUGGUCAUCAAUACUAAUGUUGCUUUAUAAUUUCUCUUCUGUCAGGAUGUGAUGAUCCUGGACCAAUCACUAUUUUUUGGGAUGGCUGAUAUUUAUGAUAGGCACAGGGACAUGCGUCUAGACGUUGACAACAUGUCGUAUGAGGUUUGUCUAAAAUACAAACCAACCAACCGAUGUAUUUUGCACCUUUUUCGUGUUGCCUUGUUCGCGUUUUAACUAUGUGAAAGUGCAGGAAUUGUUGGCAUUGGAAGAGCGUAUUGGGAAUGUCAACACAGGACUAAACGAAGAGACAAUAGUUGCUCGACUGAAACAAAAGAAGCGGGUGAAUGCUGUUGACUCACAGGUGGAGGAAGAACCAUGCUGUGUUUGUCAGGUUGUAACAGAUGUAUCUUUUGAGCUGUUAUCAUUCUUGAAACUGCACAACUUUGUAAUGUCUGUCUCCUUCCCUCAUUAGCAUCCGACUAACAACCCAGCUGAUGAUUUCCAGGAGGAAUACGUGGACGGAGAAGACAUUGGAACGCUGGAAUGCGGGCAUGACUUUCACACAGCAUGUAUUAAGCAGUGGCUGAUGCAAAAGAAUCUGUGUCCCAUAUGCAAAACAACUGGUUUAGCAAGCCGAGAAUGAAUGAACCUUGGUGUGGUGGUUGCUGCUUAAGAGACAAGGAGUUAAAAAAAAGCAAAGCAACUAUGGAAUGGAAUCAAGGAAGGAAAUGCUAGGAUGUUGCUUGCCAGUUAUCUACCUCUGAAGAACCACAUUCAAGUUUCUCUAUAUACAAGUAGUAGUAAAAUUUUUAUAUAAUGCAAGCAAUCAUUUUUUUAAAAAAAAUUUGUUUUGGAAGGGAAGGAAAAGGAAAAAAAAGAAAAAAGAAGAAAAAUUCAAGGGUUGUAAUUGGCAAGGAAUUGUUAGCUUUAAGGUUAUGAUGGUGAUGAUGAUGAUGAUGGUCGGUCAAACUAAUUAAUGUUUACUCCCAUUGACAUUAGAGAUUGUUGGUCUUAAUAUAUCAUCGGAUUUUUCCAUAUAUUUAUUUUAUACCUCGCAAAACUUAGUGGUAGUAAGUAGUGAGUAUUAUUAUUGUUGAUUUCCAAAUUGGAAAAAUGGUUUAUUAUUCCUUCUUCUUUUCGGUAAAUAUAAUGUGUUUGAUUUAAUUUUGUAUUCAGACGCUAUGUCCAAAGUCUCCAAAAGGCAACAGAAAAAGAGUAGAAUAUUUGGUGUUGGUUAUAUUAUGGUUUUGUGUAAUAAAUUGGAAAUAGCCAAACGGUGACGUUUUUGGUUAGGGAUAAGACGGUGAAUGAUACAUCAUUAUUAUAUCUUUGACUUUAUGAAUCUGCCAUCCUCUCAUUUACUUCUCUUUCCUCAUCCAAUCACUUUUAUUGCUCUUUUAUUCUCUUCUCUCUCUCUUUUUUCUUUUUAAUUCAAAUAUACUAUUACCUUCCCUUUAAUUUUAUUUUUUAUUUCUUCUUUUUUCUUACAAAGAAAAUAUGUUUCUCCUUUCACUUUAAAGUUAUUUGAUGAUUUCAAAUGGAGAGUCCAUUAUUCACAUGUAUUCAAUAACAUCCAAUAUAGUCAUUUUCCCAUCAAAUAUGUAUUUGUAUACUGAUCAUAUAUAUAUAUAUAUAGGAUAAUUGUUAUGGAUGCCAAAAAUAUUAAAAUUAUUUACAAUUUAUAGCAAAAGAAAAAAACAUGAAUAUAAGAGUUUGAUUAAUUUUGUUACAUUUGUAAAUUGUUUUAAUAUUUUGCUAUUUUUAGAAAUAUAUAUAUAUAUAUAACAAAACGAUAAUAAGAUAACUAUCCGGAAAAUAAACAAAAUCUUCUCAUACAACAAUGCCCAAUUUAUAGUUGAGGUAAUGUUUUCAGUUUUUAUUUUUAAAUAGUCUACAAGAUAACAAUAAAAAAAUCUCGUAAGUACUUUAAAAUUCAACAAAAUAAGUGAAAAUAAAAUGUUGUUUUUUUUGGUUAAAUGGUAAAUUUAUUCAUUUCACUGAACUAAAAUUUAAUUUAUAAUUUUUAGUUUAACAUGAAAAUAUUGUCAUUUGAAUUUUGCAGAAGUAACACUUGAAGUCAUAAAUAUAAUACUUAAAAUAAUAAGUCCAAUAAAUAAGUUAAAUUUGUUAAUAAUAUUUAUGACAAUCAUGUGAGAAAAAUACAAUUAAAUGUUUUUUAAAAUUCUACUUAAAAAAAAUGAAAAAUUCUUACAAUAAAAACGAACACAUGUAAAAUUUUCAAAAACAGCUACCCAUCCAAAAGUUUAAAACUCAAAUAAGGUGAUUAACUUCAAAUUUAAUUUAAUCCCUAUACGUUGAAGUUUACAGGUACGUGACUUAGCGUCUUAGGUUGGGUGAGGUAACACAUCAUUUGGUUCAUACAACACUUUUAUACAGUAAUCAAUAUUGAGAAUAUCUUCUUGUUUGUCUGAAGAAUGGGGUGAGAGAGUUUUGAGUUGUGUAGAUUCUAAUAUUAUUUUGUUUAAAAGAAAAUUAGGUUUAGUUUUAACUUUCUAAUUUGAUGUCUAUAAUGUUUAUUCAAUAACAUUUGAAAAUUAGGAGGUGUAGGUACUGAAAUGAAACACUUGGUUACGUGAAUGAAAAUGGUGAUGAAUGAAAGAAAAUGUGAAUUUGCAUAAAAAAAGGAAGCAGUGAGAUUAAUUAGAUUAUUAUUAAAAAGAAGACAAAAAGGGAAAUUAGGUAAAAGACAAAUCCUCUAUUUUUGGAAAAGAUUGUAAAUAAAAGAAAGAAUAGGGGAAGUUUUGAAAAAGAAGUAACUGAUGGGUUUCUGUAAAGUAUAAAAAGAAAGAGAAAAAAGGAAACGACAAAAAGAUUAAGGCGGGAGGGGUGGGAUUAAGAAGGAAGACGAUAAGUUGAACCUCGGGACGCAGACCAGAAGUCAGCAACUUCACAAAAACACCAUUAAUGACAAUCCUUAAUCCUUGUUUUUGCUUUCUACCCAACAAAACUAAUCAUCCAACGCUAAAAGAUAAGACGGAAUCCAAGAAAAAGUACACACAAACUCAGACCAAUACCAUACAAAUAUAUAAUUCCUUCCACCCCAAACCGUUUCUGCACACAAAGCCAACAUACCCAACGUAAUCCUUCAUUUUUCAUCCUUACUUUCAACCCCUUUUGAUCCUCAAUCAUGGCGGAUCUCUACGGAACUUCCCCUUCUUCCGAUGUUGUGGGUUUGCCCCAUGACCCUGAAGAUUUCUCUUCUUUCAUCAAUCACCACCUUCAAACCACUACUUCUUCUGCUUCUUCCCCUUCUUGCGUUUCCUUCAAGAACAAGUUCAUGCCCUUGUUGCAUUCUCAACCUCCUUGGCACUCUUCGCCGAUGUUUUCUCGCCGGCCCGAUUCCACCUCUGUUCCCGGUAUGUCCUGCAUGCUCGAUUUUCCCGAGGAUCGGCUUCAGUCCAGUCGUGUUUUGAACCACGCUUUGUCGGAUUGUAAUGUUAGGGAUGUGAGAUUUGCUGAUGCUUCGUAUUUGGCUGUGAACUCAACUUGCGGCGGCGUGAAAUUGUCGGAUCCUGGUGACUUUCUCAAAGAAAGUUCCGACAACGCCUUUUCUUCCUCCGGCGCUGUUGAUUCCGAUACGAAUGCACCGUUGAAGAGAAGGGGUCUUUCGUCUGAAAAUGAUCUUGGGGAUUUCAGUUGCGAUAGCGAGGUAACUUCCUGUUUCCUCAAAUUUCACCGUUUGAAACUUUUGCUUAUCUUGAGUUAAUUCGAUUCUCUCAGGGUGGGGAUUUGCCUGAAGUUCCAUCUAGUACUAAUCUGCCUCGAAAUUCAUCGAAGAGAAGUAGAAGCGCUGAGGUCCAUAAUAUGUCGGAGAAGGUCAGUUUCAUAUUGGGUCCCCGAUUUCUAAGCAUUCUUGUCUUUAAGUUUAGACUAAGAGCGAUUGAUUGCUGAUAUUUUUGCUAAUGGUUUCGGUGAGUGGGCCAGAGACGAAGAAGGAGGAUCAAUGAGAAAAUGAAAGCUCUUCAGAACUUAAUUCCCAAUUCAAACAAGGUAUAUUUGUCAAAUUCAAGACUAUGGCGGUUUUGAUUACUUUUUAAGUAUUUAGAGUUACAAUCAGAUUGUGGUUUGACAGACGGACAAAGCUUCAAUGUUGGAUGAAGCAAUUGAGUAUUUGAAGCAGCUUCAACUUCAAGUCCAGGUGGGUGUCCUUUUUUUUUUGUUUUGUUUUGUUUUGUAUGGUUAUGUGCCUGAGAAUUUGAUCACGUUUUUUCACUUUUGUUUGCUAUGGAAUUAUCUCUCUUUAUACGUGUACUCGUUCAUUUUUAUUGGUUUCUAAUUACAAAUAGUCCAUGAAUUUGGGCCACAGAAUCUUAUGUGCUGAUAUAUCAAAAAGUAAUGUUCCUUUUGUCCUCAUGAUAUGAGUCAAACGUGCCUGCACUUCGAUUUCUGGUUGCAUUUCAAUCAGAGAACUUUGAAUAUUCAAACAGUUUCAUCCUAAUUUUAUUUCUGGCCAAACCUUACUAGAGAAAAGCCAAUUGAUAGUGAAAUUUUUUGAGUCUUGAGUGUUGAUUAUUUUCCAAACCCAUGGUUCUGUAGGAGUUCUGUUACUCAUUCUGAGAAUUAUUGGGACAUUUUCAGCUGAAAAAGGCUGAAGAUCUCCUCCUCCUACCGCCGAUUAACACUGUGUGUUUGAUUACUUUUCACUCUAUCACUAUAAGAUUAUGCUUCGUUUGAGCUUUUCCUAACAUAACCAAAAUUUUACUUCUUAAGAGAAGAUGGUUCACGAAAUAGAGGUUUUUUCUUAGCUAACUUACGUUUGAGACAAUGAUGUCAAAAUAAUAGAUUUCUAGGACCUCAUAUUCUUUCUUAUCACGAAUUUGAUGGGUGCUUAUGAGGAGCAGGAAUAAUACCUCUCUUGAUCAUUGUUUUGUCGAAAAUUUUCCCUGUUUUAGUUGCUCUUUUUGGGCUAUACUAAAUCUGAUAUUGAACUAUAAACGAAAACGAAAUUACAAGAUAAUUCAAGAGUCCAAGGUACUUGGACCCUCCGAAUCUUGGCAGUACUCUCAGGCCGUAGUAGACUUCACCAAAUAUUGCCUAUCUCCCAUCUUCUCCACUCGCUGUAUUUACUUAAAACAUUCAUAACAAUCCCUUAAUACUCUAAUUAUUUCCUUAAAACGUUCAUAACAAUCCCUUAAUACUCUAAUUAUUUACUUAAAACAUUCAUUUCAAAUAAUGAGGUUUGGAGCAACUAACAGCUUGUUCCAUUUUUUUCUCUCUAGUUGACAGAAAUGGUCAUAGUUUGAUGAACAUAUUUAAACUUGUUAUCAAUGACGUUUGGCUUUGCAGAUGUUAUCAAUGAGAAAUGGCUUGAGUUUGCAACCAAUGUGCUUGCCAGGAAUGCUGCAGCCAAUUCAACUACCUCAGAUGGGGUUGGACUACGAUGUAGGAAAUGCAUUUCUAACAUCCCGAAGAGGAAUAGAUACAUCGUCUACUAGGAACGAAGGAUGUCCCAUGCAAUCUACAUUCAAUCUUACCAACAAAUGUAACCUUUCAGAUCAGUCAAUUGCCAUCCCUUCUGUACCAAACACCACAACCUCAGAAACUGCAUUCGGUUUUGAACCCACAAUUCAGGGUUAUGAUGGGGAGUUUAACCUGUCCUCCGAUUUCAAGGUAACAAACAAUAUUAACCAGCUUCUUUCUAGGUUAGUGAAAUUGGGACCAAAUAUUUUCUUGGAAAUAUGCAGGAUGGGGAACCAGCCGCACAGUUAGAUUGCGCUCAGACGGGGAACGAGUCAACAGACGCUUCUUAGCUGUAGUCCUUUGCAGGAUGCUGGUCACUAGAGUAUGGCCUUUUUAAUGAAGCAAUUUCUUUACUUUCCUUGUGGAUUUUCAACAACAAACAUUAUAGAAACUACAAAAAGUUCUAUUUUCACACUUACCAGAAAAUCUAUUGUAGAAUAGGUUAACAACAUAAUCUUGAUAUUUAUGCCUUUGACUCUAUAUUUUUAAGAAAAAAAACUUCAAGUAUUAGUUAGGCAAACAUAGAAAUGCAGAAAUCUACCUGAUCUGCUUUGUUUGAAAAGAAAGAGGAUAGAAGCUGCCAAAUGUUUUUGGGGAGAAGCAAGAAAAAGAAAAAGAAAAAGAAUACGGUGGUCCUUCCUUACCUUUACCAAUUAGAUGCUCUCUAUCUGGACUCAUUGAUGUGAAGUAGAUCAAUUAUUUUGCCUUGUAAUGCUGUCAAGAAAUGAAAACAAAAAAUAUGUUGUCUCUUUGCAGGAUAUUUUUGAGAUAAAUACCCAUUCAUAAUAUACGAUAAUAUCAAUUUAACUUUGUUCAUAUGCUGUUUGAUUUUGGUUUAGAUUGAAAACUGACCCAAAAUAGGGACAAAUUGGGCCAAGUUGAUAUGAAGCCAUUUGGCAGAGGGAAUAUGUCUCAUAUGAUAUAAUAACAAAUCAUAUGAAAUGAUUAAAGAUGAAUUCGAAAGAAAAAGAAGGGAAAAGAAAAGUUUGGGGGUGCCCUUAAAAAAAGGGGAGGGUCUGAAACUUGUUCAGUGGUCAAACUCUAUUUUAUGGGGAGAGGUAAUUAAUUAUGUAACAUUGACUGACACUUCUAAUUAUUAAUUAUUACUUAACUAAUGAGCUACCCAUCCAUUAUUUUUAGUUAAAGCAGGCGCUGCAGUCAGGCAGACAAGCAGAGUUCUUUAAUCAACAAUAAUAUUGUUGGAAUAAUUUCUUCUCAAGUCUUUUUUUAAAGUUAAAGUUUGUGUUUAAUAGGCCAUCAACUUAAUUUCUCAAGAAUGACAUUAUGUCUAUUGUUCAACAGGGUUCUUAGUUUUUAUAUUUGUCUAUAAUGAAUAUGUUGGGGUUCACAAUUGAAAGUUUAAGGAAUCUUUGAUGUUCUGAGGACUAGUUGGACAUUUUGCAAAGUUCAGGAACAUCAAAUAAAAAAAUUUCAAUUUAGGAUCUACACACAAAGAUGAGGGUUAAGGGCUAAACUGUCACUAAACAUUUUUUAAUGAUUUCUUUUUUUGGGUGAAUUUGAUGGCAGCUAAAUUAUUAAUCAGCAGGUUUCUCCUAAAAUUCAAGAUUAUGUUCGUGUGUGUAUUUGUAUCGAUCACAUAUCAUACAAAGAAACAACAAUAAGUCUAAAGAAAAAGGAAAGACAACAGCUAUAAAGGUCGUAUAUUUAUGUAUGAGUCAAAUAAACACUAAUUCUGGGUUUAGAAAGUUGUUCUUUUACUAUUACUGUUGUUAUUAUUUUACAUGAUUUUUAAGAAAAAUUAUCAAUCUUGUUAAACUUUUUUUUGGACAAGGCAACUUUAAGUUAUGAAUGAUAACAUGGUUUGUCAACAAAUUUUGAAUUAUUUACUUAGAAUGUAGAAAUCAAUUCUUGGAUGUAAUAAUUUCGUUCUGUGAAAAUGAAUUCUUGGAUAGAUAAAUAUAUACGUACACACACAAAUAAAUGGAAGAAACUUUUCUUUUUGGAAAGGAAGUAUAAAAUAAUUAUAAACAAGGAAAGUGGUAGGAACACCUUGGGAUGAUUCUUCCCCCCAACUUUUAUUUUUUUUAUUGGGUUUUUGUUUGAAUAAUGUCUACUCUUUUUUUAGAAAAUAAGAAAAACACAGAUGAUAAUUCAUGUUUUUAAAUAGAAAAGGGGAAAAAUUUUAUUAUUCAAUGUGAUCAAAUAUGUAUCAUAUCUAACAACCAAUUCUUUCUAUAUUGUAUAAUUAAAAGAAAAAAAAUCGAUUAUUCUUUAUGAUCACAAAAUAAAAAAAGAAAAAAAAAAGACAAUUUAUGAAUAAUUAAAAAAUUGAACGCGUAAAAAGCAAUAAAGGUAUUACCAAUUUUCCCCAAAAAUCUAAACUCAAAAUUUUAGAAUAUUUCUGUAAAGCCAAAUAAAAAGAGGAAUAUGAAUAAAUAACUUAACAUAGAUAUCUAUUUUUCUAAUGAAAAAUGCUUUUGGGUACAUGCCGACUUGUAUUCAUCUUGAGUUAUCCAUUCGAAACUCUAUCACAAAUUAGAGCAAAAUUUAUCUAAUUCUCUAGAGUUCAUUUAAUUUUUUUUUUUUUGAUAUAUUUUGUAAAUUAUUGUUAUUAUUAUGAGAAAGAAAAAAAAGCAAGUUGGUUGUUAGAUUUUGAGUCCAACACCUAAAAGAGAAAGAAAAGAAAAUUAGAAAUGAAUAAUGGUACUUUGGAAGUAAUUAUGUAGAGUCUAUACUACAAUUAAUUAAACUCUAGAUUUUUGGAUUUAUCCUUUUCUAUUUUCUAUUUUUUUUUAAUACAAAGUCCGUGAUGACUAUAUUUAUAUAUAUGAACAAAUUACUUUCAAUUAAAAGCUUUACCAAUUACACUAUCAUUAUUGUAUUGUAGCAAUAAGAAUCAUAUACUAUAAAAAGAGUAUUUGUCACUCUAUGUUGUCUUAAGAAUUGGGUUAGUUGAUUUGCAUAUUUUAUAUUAUAAGGCUAAUGAUCUAACAAAGACAAUUCAAGCAGUUUACUUACUGAAAACAGUGUAUAUAAAAUAAUUGUGGAGAAAGAAUCUGCAACGAAAAUGGAUUUUAGUGAAUAAAAAUGAAAGAAGGUCGUCUCAAAUUCAGAAAUCAUUUGUAGCUUACCGUGGAAUUUCAGAUAAAGGCUCACCGGGGAAGAGGGUUCAAUAAAUGGAUGGGCUUUUGUAGGGUUGAUUUUUCUUUCUUCUCUUCUCUUCUUCACCAUUGUUGAAGAUGGAAGUCCCAUCAUGCCAGCUCUUUCUUUCUCUCUCGCUGUGAACCCCACUGAAUGAGUGGAAUUUGCAGUUUAGUUUCUUGUCUUCAUUUUCGAGAUUUAUUGUAUCCUUUGCUUUUGCCACUCAGCUAAUUGUCCUCCUUCUUCUGUGGUUGUCUCCGCCACAAAAACAGUCUUGAAAGGUUUGUAGAACAAGGGGAAGAGGAAAAAUGUCUAAUUAUGCCUUCUUGAAUGACCAGCUCUCGAAGCGGACCUCCAUUUUCGGUUUGCGUUUGUGGGUUGUUUUGGGUAUUUGUGUUGGUGCUGCCAUUGUUAUUGUUCUCUUCCUCAUUUCCUUAUGGUUCACUUCCAGGCGUAACAGUUCCAAUAAAUCUAAACCCUCUUUGAACCCCAUUAUCCCAAAUGUGUCUAAGGAAAUCCAGGAAAUACGAAUUGACCAUUCUCGGAACACUACUCAUUCUGACCCCAAAGUUCAGUUGGCUUCUAACCCUGAGCCUUUGCCGGAGGCAGAGCCUUUAGCGACGCUGCUUCAGACGGAAGAAGGAAGCCCACCUAGUGGACGCCAUAGAAUUCACAUUGAAAUUGGGAAGGACCAUCGGAUUUCUUACCCAGAGAGAGGUGGCGGUUCGUCCCACGGAAGUGGAGAGGCUCGGUCUGGUGAUCAGGCGCCAAUGACUGUGCCGGAGGUUUCGCAUUUGGGUUGGGGCCAUUGGUAUACUCUCAGAGAGCUUGAGUAUUCUACUAAUAGUUUUGCGGAUGAAAAUGUAAUUGGUGAAGGCGGAUAUGGUAUUGUGUACCGUGGGGUUCUUGAGGACAACACCGUGGUUGCCAUCAAGAAUUUGCUCAAUAACAGGUUCUUCUUCUCAUUUUAUUUCUUUUUUCACAUGGAUCUUUGUAAUUUAUCGCAGUUAUGUCAAUGCAGUACGAGCAUUUAUCUUAUGUUACAAGAAUCCACAACUGCAAUUGAUACAUUAUGUUGUUCCGCUGGAAGAAAUUUUAUGCACUAUUUCUUGUGUUCAGAGGACAAGCUGAGAAGGAGUUUAAGGUUGAAGUGGAAGCAAUUGGACGUGUUCGCCACAAGAAUCUGGUGCGUUUGCUUGGCUAUUGUGCUGAAGGAGCUCACAGGUAUUCUGAUUUUCCUCCAAAGUAAUCCUGUAGAAGCUUAAGAAACUGUAAACACUCUCUUCUCUAGUUAAUUUGAGAACGUGUGUGCAUUCUGCUUGUCUUGUUGUAGGAUACUUGUCUACGAGUACAUUGAUAAUGGAAACUUGGAACAGUGGCUUCAUGGAGAAGUUGGACCUUGUAGCCCUCUAACAUGGGACAUUCGAAUGAAUAUAAUUGUUGGAACAGCGAAAGGGUAUGUUCUAAAUUGAGUUUGCGUUCACUAUUUUGGUUGUAGAUAAGUAAUAUUCUUCAACAUCUUGCCAUAGUUUUGAGUUUGACUUCAUAAAAUCACAGGUUAACAUACCUCCACGAGGGACUCGAGCCUAAGGUUGUUCACCGUGAUAUCAAGUCAAGUAACAUUUUGCUUGACAAGCAGUGGAAUCCAAAGGUCUCUGACUUCGGCCUAGCAAAGCUUUUAGGCUCAGAAAGGAGUUAUGUAACAACUCGUGUGAUGGGAACUUUCGGGUCAGUCUAAGUUGUAGAGUGAAAUGUAUUACUUGAUUUCUAAUUUUGAAUUCAUGAACUUGACGGAGUAACUUACACAAUGCCGACUGGGGUUGUUUUGUAGAUACGUAGCUCCAGAAUAUGCAAGUACUGGCAUGUUAAAUGAAAAAAGUGAUGUAUAUAGUUUUGGUAUCCUCAUUAUGGAGAUAAUUUCAGGGAGAAAUCCAGUAGAUUAUAGCCGCCCUUCAGGAGAGGUGUGUUUCUCAUCCAGAUUAUUUGUCAUUGCAUAACUUGGCCUAUACAGGCCUCUGCUUUCACCAUUAACUUUUCAUGGUUGAUUGGUGGAUCAAACUUUCAGGUCAACCUAGUUGAGUGGCUUAAAACAAUGGUUAGUAAUCGAAAUGCUGAGGGCGUUCUGGAUCCUAAGUUGCCUGAAAAGCCUUCAACAAGGGCACUGAAGCGUGCUCUGUUAGUAGCUUUACGGUGUGUGGAUCCUAAUGUUCAGAAGAGGCCAAAAAUGGGGCAUGUAAUUCAUAUGCUUGAAGCAGACGAGUUUCCUUUCCGAGAUGUGAGUUAGCAGCAUUUCAACUAUUACUUAGACCAACUUGAUGUGUGGGAAUAUUUAUCUUCAUUCCAUAAAAUUAGUUGCCUCUAUAGUCUUGUCUUAAAAGUAUUUUACAAAGAAUAAGUUAAUGAGUUACUUAAGUUAGAAAUCUGGUUUAUUUGCUUUAAACUAUGUAUCCGGUUUUUCCUCCUUCCAUAUCUCAUGAUCCAUCAUUGUCUCUCCUCAAUAUCUCAGGAUCGUAGAGUGGGACGAGAACCAGGACGAUCACUACUGAAGGAAAAGCUCAUGGAAAGGCUUGUGAGUGAAUCCGGAGAAAGCAGCGGAUAUGAAAGUGGAGCAACACAAGCAAGCCGACAUCUAUGGAGAAAGCAAGAACUUGAAGAACAACAGCCUCGCGAACCUCACACUUUAAGGUGAUCUUGUAUACCCAACCCACAUUAUUAUCAAUCAGGCUACACUCUAAAAUGUAAGGAUUAUUUCUGCAGCCUCUCCCCCUUGCUGUACUGUAUCAAACAAUCUGUAUAAUGUUUUGUAUCAAUCUUUCUCAGUUUUGGGAUUCAUUCUAAUGGUUUAUAAUCACCAAAAUUAGAUACCUGUAACUGUAAGUACAACAUUUGGAAGGAAAGUUUUUAGUUAAAUCUGAAAUGCCCUGAAUUAAGGAUGGUAAAGAGUGAAGAUGAGUACUUUUUAGGUUGAAGUUUGGUGGGUGUGAUUAGAAUCAAAUCGGGUCCUACUGAAGUUUUGGUGGGUGUGAUUAGAAUUAAUUGGGGUCCUAGUCUUUCACGAGCAUUACUGUUGGGGUGGGGACUUGGGUUUGUGAAGUAGAAGGAAGGAGAACCUUUAUUUUUCAGGUUUACAGUAAAGGAACUGUUGUGUGUUUGGAUUUUAGAAUCUUGGACCACUCUCUUUAAAGUUCUUCGGGUAUUGUUACUUGUCAAAAAGUCAUUAGAUUUCUUUUUUGCUUAUUACUUUUGGCAUUUCUGUUUUCUACUUCUAAAACUCUGAGUUCUGGUCACUGUUUUACUCUCUCUCUCUCUCUCUCUCUCUCUCGACACACACAUGGCAUUUCCUAUCUUGAAUCUUGUUUUUCAUUGGUUAUGAAUUUUGCAUGUGCUGAGCAUUUAUGCUAGUAGGGCAGAAGGCUUAUGCCACUUUCCCCUUCAAUUGACUCGAUGAUUGUUCUUUCACUUUCUUAAAGGUUGUUAAUUUAAUUUUAAACAUUUAAGAAUGGAAAAGAUGAUAAUUUUACUAUAUAUAGUUUCCCUCUCUACUUUUGAUAGUUAAACUCUUGUUAGAAGUAGGAAUCACAAAUGCACCUUUGAUCUCUUUCUAAGACUUUGUUAGAAAUAAGAAUUGCUUAGCAUCAUUAAACUCACUUUUCUUAUAUUCAAAAUCAACUAUUUCAAAAAUUACUCUUAAAAACAUUAAUAUUGUCAUAAUUUAGACUUUUGCUUACAAAUUGUAUUCGAAAAGAGAUUCGUACAAUCUUAGAUAUGUUUGGUAGGCAAAAUUCAAAUAUGCAUUGGUAGGUACUCAAGAUUUUGGAAACGAUGUUUAAAUUCAAAUUUACAUUUUUCUUUUGAGUUUAUUGCAGAGUUAGGGCCUAUAUCUUAAUUUGUUGGGAGGUGUGUGAAUGAGCAAUGAACAAGGAUGCUCUUUUGGGUGAAAAAUGAGAACUUAAUCCUUAUACUUCAUCACAUUGUCCAUACAAAAGAUUUUGAUGAUUCAAGAAAAUUGUGAAUUAUAUUGAAAAAUUAAUAGACUUGAGAUGAUGCAGAAACGAUCUUUUAGAAAAUACAUCAAGUAAGAAUAGCAGUGAUAAAUAAAACAUAGUGAAUAAUCAUCAAUAAAUAAAGUAAGAAUAGAGUUAUGAGUAGAAGUAGAUAUCAAGAUAUCAUGAUGAAUUAAGCCAAAAAGGUGUAUGACAUAACAUGAAUAUGAAAAAAAUUUAGGGAAGAUAAAAGCAAGUUGUUUCACAAGCUUACAAAUGAUACAUCAUGGUAGCAGUUUUGUUUUUUCUUUUUAGUAUCUUUUUUCCCUUGAGAAAUACCUCAUGGUAGAGUUUUCAUCAAGAAGUCAAUAAAAAUAUUUCUCAUGAGCCUCUAAUGAAUUAUAAGGCAUAUAUAUCGCUAUGAAAUUUAUAUGAUCUAGGCAAGAAUUUGAGUUUUUUUUAAAGAGUAUUUGUGCAUUAUUGAAAUUUAAUUGUGUAAAACGUGACAAUAAUUUUUUUUUUUUUAGAAUAUAGGCUUUAUUAUUACAACUUUUCUUUAAUUAAAACGAGUUAUUAAAGUUUUUAUAUAUUAUUAAUUUUAAGGUUAAAACAUGUGAGUGAAUUAGUAAAUCUCUGAAUAAAAGACAAAUAUAUCAGGUAUGCUUUAAAUGUUAAAAUUGAUUCAACUUGUCGAAUUUAGAUGUAAAAAUGGAUGCUUUCCAAACUAUAUUUAGAGUUGCAAAUUACUCAAGAUGGCCUCAAUGUUUUUAUUUAACUAGGUUCAUUAUUUUCUUCACUGUAUACGAGCAUACUCGUAAUUUCAUAUUUAAGAAAAAACCAAUUUACUCGGAAUGUUAAAGGUAAAACUACAAAAUUCAAACCAUAAUAAGCAAUCAAUUCAAAUAUACCUUUUUCUUUAAGGACGAUUCCAAUAAGAGAAAAAAAAACAAAGAGAGAAAUUGGUUUCAUAUUUUAAUACAAACACAAAUGAGCAUCCUGAGUUGCAAGUAAUUGAAAGUUUAAAUUGCGUAAAUAAACAUAAUACAAUUCAAUCAAAAUUACCCGAGAAGUUAUUUUGAGAUUCUAAAGGGGGUUCAAUGUGAAACACAUCUAAAAACUCUGCAUCUCAGUCCAAAACUAAAUUAUAUCCUUUAAAAUGAUAAUUAAUGUUCGGGAAUUACUCCCUUCAAAACUAAAUUAUUGAAGGAAAAAAAAUCGCCAGAACCAAGUCUAAAACUCUGGAGACAUUUUCAUCAACAUCUGAAAAAUGAAUUAACCUUUGCGGUGAGGUUAACCACCUCAGCUUAAGCGCCACCAGAUCCGUAUUUCUUCCCGAAGACGAUCACCUGCAACUUAUCGUAACCGGCAAGCACACCAGCACCAGCAACGGCACGGAGAAUGUUAGCACCAGCACCCUUGAAGAGAGACUUGGCACCUUCGUUCUUCAAGAUCUGAGAGAAGGCAUCCAUUGAGCUCUUGUACUUCACUGCUUCACCAGAUGUCAUCAUCAUUCUUCUACGAACAGUGUCAAUUGGGUAGGAUGCAAGACCGGCACCGUUGGUGAUGAGCCAACCAAGAGCAAAGCUAGCGAAGAAACUAUCCUGCUCUCACAUAAAAGGUAGAAUAUAAUCAGAACAUAGCAAUUCAAACAUUGGCAUUCAUUAAUGAACUCAAUUUAUAUAAUCCCCACAGCAAACAACUAAAACCACUAGCAAACUGACCUGCAUCUUCCCGGUCAACAAAACAGGCUUUAGAGAAUCGUACAUUCCGAAGUAUAAACCACGGUACACAAUGAUACCAACGCAAGAAAUGUUAAACCCACGAUAUAAACCAGCAACACCAUCAGACUGCAAUGUCUUCCUGUAGACAUCAACCAGUCCAUUGAAUUGCCUUUCUCCACCCUUCUUGGCAGCUUUGGCAUCAUUUGCCAAUCGGGUACGCGCAUAGUCAAGAGAGUAAACAAAAAGAAGGGAUGAAGCACCGGCUGCACCUCCGGAUGCAAGGUUACCAGCAAACCAUUUCCAGUAACCAUCCCUGUCUUUCUUGAAGUUGAAAAGUCUCUUGAAGUAAUCCUUAAAAGCAAAGUUCAAUGCCUGGAGCAUGUAACCAUAAAACAAUUAGCUCAAGAAAGUUUAAAAAAAUGGAGAGAUAAAAUUAUACAACAGAAGAAAACCACACACUUGAGUGGGGAAAUAACGGAUGACAUUGGCAGUGUUUCCUCUCCACAAUGAACCGAAACCCUCCUCUUGCAUUGUGCGCUUAAAACAAUCACCAAUACCCUUGUAUGGCUCAGACAAACGUCCAGAUUUAAUCAUCUCAUCUUGAUUUUGAAUUAAGAGUUUGACACGCUCAAUCGGGGCAGCAGCUGUUUUGGACACAGCAGCAGACACACCACCCAUAAGAAAGUCAAGCAUAAAGUUUCCUUUCUCAGCAGGGGCAGCAACAAAAAUGGGGGAAGCGGUUGAGGAAACCCUAGAAAGGUCAGUUGUAGCUACACAGGAUUGCACAGCAGGAUAUUGAAAAGCAGCAUUGGAAUAAUUGGUAAUCGGUGCACGUCUCUGAUAGAGUGCAGGAUUUCUAAAGCCAUCAUCACAAGCCCGGAAACCCGAAGCAACCCUCGACUGAAGGGAGAGCUGACCAGCAACCUUCUGAUAGAUAGUGGGAUGUUGAACCUGAUCAGCCAUGGCUACUUCUUCCCUGCAAUAAUUCCCAAUGAUUUCAUCAGAUGAGAAAUACUCGUUUCAAAUUUAGAACAAGAGAUGACAUUGAGACACCAAUACGACAGUAGUGGGCCAGAAGUACAGUUUAGGUAAGGCAGAUAGCUAUUCAAGGAAAAUGAGAUCAAUAAAGAAUCGAAGAACAAAGUUAAUAUUUUAUAAGCAUCGUUCAAUGUAGCAAAUCAAGUACUAUAAGUCUUCGUUGAAAACAGAGCUGUAAUAACAAAUGCCAAGGGUUGAAAAGUAGCAACAUGGUCAAGAGUAAAGAUCAUUUACUAAAACAUAUAAACCUUAAUUCUGUUUUAUGAAAUAUCUAAUCGCAAUAACAAUAACAUAAGAAAAAAAAACGUACACAAACACACCAAUUUAAGGGUCGGCUCCAAACACUUAAAAGUAAAGAGUAAAUGCAUCCGUAAGAGCGCAGAUUCAUAACAAAAAAUUCGCUGAUCCACAGUAAAACAAUAGGAGACAACCAGUACGAUAAGAGGUCUCAUCAGUCAUCGCUAAGAGGCCACACAGUCAGUACAUGAUGAUAAUAUGCGAGUUUUAUAAAAAUACAACAAAUGAGAUUAGAUCGGAAAAAAUGGGAACACAACAAACCCAAACAGAAACUAGAAAAUUCACAUCAAAGAUUCCGUUCAGAAACUUCAACAGCAGAACUUCGGAAAUAGUUAAGGUGAACAGUAAACACUAUAAGAGAUAUAUUUAGGAAGAACAGAUCUCAAUCUAGAAGUAAAUAUGAGAAAACCAACAGACAAAUCCGACAAUCUGAAGUCUGUGCGAUCAGAAAUUUAAGAAAUAGCCAAGGAUCAGACCCCAGAAGUUUAAAAAAUAAAAAAUAAAAAAGGAAGCAGAAUAAAGACGAAUAAGGAUCGUUUUUACCAAAGACGAACCGAGAAGAAAGUGAAAGUAUGAAGAACUGCCGGAUCUGAAGGUGAAAUUGAAAGUGAUCGGUAGAAGAAUUGUGGAUCUAAAAGAGAGAAAGAGGAGUAUACCUUAGGAGAAAACUGAUGGCCGCGAGGGAAACUGGGAGGAGUCUGCCGCGGCUACAAUGUCGCGUAGGACGAAUGCGAAAACUUCAGGAGAAGAGAGGGUUUCCCGCUGCACCAUGGGUCAGUAUUAAGGGUUUAAAAUGGGCCCUUAUUGGGCCUUUAUUACCAAAGCCUUUACCAUAAGAUUUUAUGUUCUCCUUUAUUUUUAAAAAAUCAUAUUUAAAAUAAUUACAAAUAUAAACCAAUAUUAAUGUUACAAAUCUAUUAUUAAUAAACAAAUAUUCACUCAUACAUAAAUUCUACCAAAAUAUAAAUCUAUCACUAAUACAUGCAAAACAUAAUAAAAAUAAAAAAUUUAGUGUGUUAUUACUCAAUAACUUCUUGAACAUGUUUUUAUUUUUCAAGGUUAGAUGGAAGGUUUAAACUUGAAUUUUAAUUCUUCACAUGUCACUUGGACAUAGCACUAGAAAUAAACUAAAAAUUAUUGACAUAGAUAUUGAUUUUAUUCAUUAAUUAGUGUUGACACAUUAUUGUGUUUACGUGUCUGAUUUUAUUGAUAAAGUAUUAUUAAUAAAAAAUGGUACAAACUUUCAUUAACGACUUAGUAUAAAGUUGAGAAAAUUGAAAAAUGGAAGGCCAAAUUGAUAAUUAACUACAAAAUUAAGGUUUAUAUUAUAUACUUUAAAUAAUAACAACAAUAACAAAGUUGAAUAAAAUCGUGCUCACUUCUGCACGCCUUUUUUCUUUUUUUAUUUUUUAUAUAUUGGUCAUAGAUUAAACGAAAAGGCAUUUCUAUAACUAGCCAUAUGUUAAAUUACAAUAUUAACAACUAGUGUCAUAAUCCAUAAUUUAAUCAAUAUAUAGUAUGUGUUUUCAUUAUACAUAAAAAGGCAUUAUCAGUUAAACUAUAAAAUAUGUUAAGUUACAAUAUCAAUCUCUAAUUUUGUGUUAAGUUACAAUAUCAAUCUCUAAUUUUGGUUAUUGGUAUAAUAAAUUACCAUUGAGAUCUCUAAAAUUUUGAAACAUUUAAUAUGUUUAUGAGCUUUUAAUUUCAUAACAGUAAUGUAUUUUUUUUCUAAUUACACCAAAUACGUAUGACUCGUUAGACACCAGUUUUAAACUUUUUUUUUCUUUUUACUUUUUGCUUUUCUGUAUAGACAUUCACUUUGGACAAUAUCCAUCCCUUUAGUUUCGCCCUCUCUCCCAUCAUCACUGCUCUUCCAUUACACAAACAAACAAACAUGAAAGCGAAAUUACAUAUCCAUCUUUAUUUUGAAAUUUGGGCAUCACAUUCCUCGGAGUAGGUGCAAGACGGACUCAACCCAACUCUAACAGAUGCUGGAAUUCCUUCGGCCCUUCAUCGAUUUUCCUCGCAAAAAAGUUGUCUUCAUUUGCAUUAGAGAGGCCUCCAGCUUAGACCGUGUACAAUUCUCACUCCAUCCUCAUCCAAUCCUUCUUAACUGCCACUUUGUUCCAAUAUUUUCCCAUUAUGUUUGGGUAUUGUUUUGUAAUUGAAUGUUAAGCAAUAUGAUUCAUGAUUUAGGGGAAAAUAUACAUUUUUGUCUCUCGCUUUAGAUUGAAAUACAUAUAUGAUUUAGUUAUGAUUUUUGGAAGAAAAAUAGGACACGGCAGAGAGUUUUAUUCAAUGUGACAUAAAAGGGUUCUCAUGGGCCGCUGAUGAACUAUAAAGCAUAUGUUUGGUAUGAAAGUCAGAAUUUAGGCGAGAAUUUGAGGGGUUUGGCCACUUAUUUGAUGUGUUCAUUGUAGAGCUUGAAUGGUCUAUUUUGUGCAAAUUUGACUUUUAUUCAAGUGGUGGCCGGUGGGUUGUUGAAGUUCUUAUAUAUUAUUUCUUUUGAAGUUCCAACUAAGUGGGCGAAUUAGAAAAUUCUGAAUAAAAUAUAAAUAUUAGUACACUUGAACUAUUCAUGUUGCCAAAUUUAGUGGUGAGAAUGGAUUAGUUGAUUCGAACAUUUAUUUACAUACAUAAUAAUGUUACUUACCAGAUUUAUACAUCUUUUUCGACGUGUUUGAGGAUUGUGAAAAUGGAAUAGAGCUAGAGAAUAACAAGGCAAACACAAUACUUGUUUGAAUGAAAAAAAUCAAUCAUUUGUGCAUCUAAAUCAUAUAUCUUUGCAUUCAUUUGCUAACAAUUGUUACGUAAAAUGCUAAUUCUUGAUCUCCUCAUGCGUACUGAAAGCUGAAUAAACUUUGUUGUAUGGCUAUUCUAAGAACUAAAAAAACAGAGUUAAAAGAUUUAAAGGUAGAUUGGUUUGAUUUUGGAAUUUCUAGAUCGUAAAACAUUCCGUCUACUACAAGCCCCCAGAUGAACAUCCUCAGUUGUAAAGUAAGUGAAAGUUUCACUUAAAUAAACAGAAUACAAUUAAAUCAAAAUAUCUGAGAAAUUAUUUUGAGAUUCUAAUGGGUGAUCCCAAUGUGAAACACUUCUAAAAGCUCUGCAUCUCAGUCGAAAACUAAAGUAUAGCCUUUUAAUAACUGAAAAGUUUGGGAAUUACUCCCUUCAAAACUAAAUUAUUGAAGGAAAAAAAAUGGCCGGAACAAAGUCCAAAACUCUGGAGACAUUUUCAUCAACAUCUGAAAAAUGAAUAAACCUUUAAGGUGAGGUUAACUACCUCAGCUUAUGCGCCACCAGAUCCGUAUUUCUUCCCGAAGACGAUCACCUGCAACUUAUCGUAACCGGCAAGCACACCAGCACCAGCAACGGCACGGAGAAUGUUAGCACCAGCACCCUUGAAGAGAGACUUGGCACCUUCGUUCUUCAAGAUCUGAGAGAAGGCAUCCAUUGAGCUCUUGUACUUCACUGCUUCACCAGACGUCAUCAUCAUUCUUCUACGAACAGUGUCAAUUGGGUAGGAUGCGAGACCGGCACCAUUGGUGAUGAGCCAACCAAGGGCAAAGCUAGCGAAGAAACUAUCCUGCACUCACAAAAAAAGUAGAAUAUAAUCAGAACAUAGCAAUUCAAACAUUGGCAUCCACUGAUGAACCCAAUUUAUAUAAUCCCCACAGCAAACAACUAACACCACUAGCAAACUGACCUGCAUCUUCCCGGUCAACAAAACAGGCUUUAGAGAAUCGUACAUUCCGAAGUAUAAACCUCGGUACACGAUGAUACCAACGCAAGAAAUGUUAAACCCACGAUAUAGACCAGCAACACCAUCAGACUGCAAUGUCUUCCUGUAGACAUCAACCAGUCCAUUGAAUUGCCUUUCUCCACCCUUCUUGGCAGCUUUGGCAUCAUUUGCCAAUCGGGUACGAGCAUAGUCAAGAGAGUAAACAAAAAGAAGAGAUGAAGCACCAGCUGCACCACCGGAUGCCAGGUUACCGGCAAACCAUUUCCAGUAACCAUCCCUGUCUUUCUUGAAGUUGAAAAGUCUCUUGAAGUAAUCCUUAAAAGCAAAGUUCAAUGCCUGGAGCAAAAAACCGUAAAACAAUUAGCUCAAGAAAGUUGAGAAAAUGGAGAGAUAAAAUUAGCUCAAGAAACAAUUAGCUCAACAGAAGAAAACCACUCACUUGAGUGGGGAAAUAACGGAUGACAUUGGCAGUGUUUCCUCUCCACAAUGAACCGAAACCCUCCUCUUGCAUUGUGCGCUUAAAACAAUCACCAAUACCCUUGUAUGGCUCAGACAAACGUCCGGAUUUAAUCAUCUCAUCCUGAUUUUGAAUUAAGAGUUUGACACGCUCAAUGGGGGCAGCAGCUGUCUUGGACACAGCAGCAGACACACCACCCAUAAGAAAGUCAAGCAUAAAGUUUCCUUUCUCAGCAGGGGCAGCAACAAAAAUGGGGGAAGCGGUUGAGGCAACCCUAGAAAGAUCAGUUGUAGCUACACAGGAUUGCACAGCAGGAUAUUGAAAAGCAACAUUGGAAUAAUUGGUGAUCGGUGCACGUCUCUGAUAGAGAGCAGGAUUCCUAAGGCCAUCAUCACUGGCACGAAAACCCGAAGCAACCCUCGACUGAAGAGAGAGCUGACCAGCAACCUUCUGAUAGAUAGUGGGAUGUUGAACCUGAUCAGCCAUGGCUACUUCUUC
rnacentral:lncRNA from 1 species